rnacentral:tRNA from 1 species
GGGGUUGUGGCUCAGUGGUGGAGUGCUUGCCUCACAUGCAUGAGGCAGUAAGUUCGAACCACAGCACCA